AAGCCGCUCUGGAAGACAGAGGGAGCUCCUACGUAUUAGACAUCUUCAGAAAACGUGAGUCAUCGUGAAAGGGUUCAGUGUGACAAUGUCGACUACGAGCGUUACGGGUUGAUCCCUAUCCAUCGGGACGUCAACUCCUAGGCUUACAGCCAGAGAGGGAAAAUCACUUUCAUCUGGAGAAGCUCGUCCGGUAACACGGGGCGGCCCAUCUGCAGCUCCCCGCUGUUCCUAAAAGAAAGAUUAAGGAUUUGAGUUGGCCUGACGGAGAGAUCUUCCAGGCGACUCCGGCCCAUGGAGGAUGCAGAGCAUCACAUCAGAUCAAACAUUGAUAAACCAGUACUUUACCAGCGUUUUAUCAAUAUCUUUAAAGGACGGGGAGUUUUUGCCACUGAAUUCAUAUCCAAAGGAGACUUUGUUGUGGAGUACCGAGGUGAACUGCUUACACAACAGGAGGGCGAGGUCCGAGCUGAUCAGUACAAUGAUUCUGCAAAGGUGUUUCUUUUCCAUUUCCAAUGGAAAGGAAGAACGUGGUG